rnacentral:lncRNA from 1 species
UAGAAGCUCAUUCCUUCAUUAUUUUUUACGAAUUCACUGAAACUCUAGAGAGAGAAAAUUAUAGAGAGAAAGAAGAAAAGUUUUCUGCUACUUAACUACUUUUAUAUUCAGUUCUUUUACGGUAAGGGGUGUUAUUCUUUCUUAUUUAUGAAGAGAACUGUUGUUAUUCCAUUGCUUAUUAUUCUGUUGGAACAUCCUGUCUGUGUGUUUUACACCGGACCUGGUUCCGUCUUUAUUAUUAUUCUGUUGGAACAUCCUGUUUGUGUGUUUUACACCGGACCUGGUUCUGUCUUUAUUAUUAUUCUGUUGGAACAUUCUGUCUGUGUGUUUAACACCGGACUUGGUUCCGUCUUUAUUAUUCUGUUGGAACAUCCUGUCGGUACAAAUUUUGCCUGACCUGG